rnacentral:rRNA from 1 species
CAGUCGCCGCGGUAAUACGGAGGGUGCGAGCGUUAACCGGAAUAACUGGGCGUAAAGGGCACGCAGGCGGUGACUUAAGUGAGGUGUGAAAGCCCCGGGCUUAACCUGGGAAUUGCAUUUCAUACUGGGUCGCUAGAGUACUUUAGGGAGGGGUAGAAUUCCACGUGUAGCGGUGAAAUGCGUAGAGAUGUGGAGGAAUACCGAAGGCGAAGGCAGCCCCUUGGGAAUGUACUGACGCUCAUGUGCGAAAGCGUGGGGAGCAAACAGGAUUAGAUACCCCCGUAGUCCCUGUCUCUUAUAC